rnacentral:rRNA from 1 species
ACGGAUGCUUAGCCCCGGGNUUGAAGCGGCAAAGCUCAAAUUUGCAAAUCUGGUUCGCCUUCGGUGUCCGAGUUGUAAUUUGAAGAUUGUAACCUUGGGGUUGGCUCUUGUCUAUGUUUCUUGGAACAGGACGUCACAGAGGGUGAGAAUCCCGUGCGAUGAGAUGCCCAAUUCUAUGUAAGGUGCUUUCGAAGAGUCGAGUUGUUUGGGAAUGCAGCUCUAAGUGGGUGGGUAAAUUCCAUCUAAAGCUAAAUAUUGGCGAGAGACCG